AUGGUCAGUGUCACCGACCUCUGCCCGUUGUCCCUGGAGAUCCUGAACCGGCCCUUGACUGACGGCGCGUACACCGUGCUGCCACCAGUGUUGCUGAUUUCUGCAACUCAUUCCAUCCGGGCGGCCGUGACCCUGCUGGAGUCCGGGGGGGACCUCCAGCCCCCCGGGGGGUCCCUGACUCUGCUCUGCCGCGGGUCUGGAUUUGAUUUUGGAAGUUUUGGGAUGGGCUGGUACCGCCAAAGACCAAGGAAGGCGCUGGAAUGGCUCGCAGAUAUCACCAGCAAUGGUGCCAACACCUACUACGUGCCGUCAGUGCGGGGCCGGUUCAGGAUCUCCAGGGACAAUGGGCAGAGCUCGGUGACGCUGACCAUGAACAACCUCAAGGACGAGGAUUCCGGCGCCUAUUUCUGCGCCAAAUAUUACAGCAGUGGUUGGUCUGCUGCUUCUGCUGUUCUUGCAGAAACGAGAGCGUUGGAAUUGGCAAAUCUGAACCACCACAUUGAUUGGGGUCUUGGCAGGGAAACGAACCGAAAUGACGGCAAUGGGUAA